rnacentral:lncRNA from 1 species
GUGAAGGCGGAGAGGAGCGCUAGGGUUUCGAAAUCUGAAAAAGUUCUGCCAAGAAUAACGAGUGGUUGAUCUGACGGACGGAAGAGGUAGAGGAAGGUCCAGGAGGCGAGGAGGCCGACGAGGAGGAUGAGAGAGAAAGGAUUGGUGAGGAGAGAGACUGCGAGAAUGAGUGAAACGACGGCGUAGUAGUUGACGCGGAAGUAGGAGAAGUUCUUGCGGACGCGGAGGGUGGCUUCGGAGAAGGACUCGGGCUUCGAGAACGCGGAGCGGUCCCCGAGCUCCGACCACGGGCGGCGCUGGUCGAGGCCGUGUCGGAGGGACGCGGAGAGGUUGUUGAUGAAG